AUUCGGUUUGGUUAUUGGUUUUCACACACGGCUUUUCUUUUGUGUGAGGUUAAUAUAAAAUAUGCCCUAGUAGCAUCUCCAAGUAAUAUUUGUCUCUAGUUAUUGUAUUGGUCUGAUAUUUCUCACAUAAUGGCGUCAGUUUCUACUGCUCCAGCGCCGGGUAUGCACCAGAUCGACUUGUCCAAGUUAAAUCUUCACCAGUUGGCUCAGCUCAAGCAGCAACUAGACCAAGAGCUAAAUGUCUUCCAAGAUUCUCUUUCAACGCUAAAGAUGGCUCAAGGAAAAUUCGUUGAGUCUGGCGAGAGCGUGGAAAAAAUUACACCUAGCAGCAAGGGCAAGAGUAUUCUGGUACCACUAACAGGCUCCAUGUAUGUGCCCGGUACUAUAGCAGAUACUGAACACGUAGUAAUAGAUAUAGGCACAGGAUAUUAUGCACAAAAGGACAUAGAAGGUGCUAAAGAUUAUUUCAAAAGAAAAACCCAGUUUGUAACAGAGCAAAUGGAGAAAAUCCAAGCCAUGGGCAUUGAGAAAUCAAAGGUCCGGGAAGCAAUCUGCAUGAUGAUGGAAAUGAAGCUGCAAGCUCAGGCGCAGGCACAGAAGCCUUCCACCUCAUAACAAUGGAACAAGUCACUGACCCGCUUGCUUGAUCACAUAUUCAAAUUUACUUUGUAUUAAUACUGGUAUUAAAGAUUUUGUGAGUAAAUGUCACAACAUGUUUAAACAUGGUUUCUAGAAAUAAUAAUGAUAUUUGUGCUUUAGAUUCUAUGAAGCAUUUGUACAGUACUAGAUCACUAAUUUUAUUCUACUGCUCGAGUAGACAACAUCUACAUGAAGAAUUACCUAUAUUUCAGAAAUACUUAUGUCUUUAUUCUCUUUUGUUAUGAGAAUAGUCAACAAACAUUUUAUUAAUAUUCAUUUAAAAUUUAAAUUAUUAAUUCAUUGUCAUGUGAAUUGCUUUGUUAAGAGUUGUGUUUGAAAAAAUGCUUUUAUAACUAAUGUGCAAUUGCUUGUAAGGUGUAUAAUCGGAAAAUUAGGACACACAUAUUUUGCCUUAGAUAAAUCACAGAAGACACCUAAAGCAUCUCGUGACUCCUCCCAGGCAUCGAAAAUAUGCUUAAUUAGCUCAACACCGGCAUCGGUUGUUGAGCGACCCCGUGUAAAACCAAACUGCUUAUUAUGCAUCAAAUUAUUAACGUUAAAAUGUCGUACUAAUUGAGAAAGAACUAAUUUUUCAAAAAUCUUGCUAAAUGUUGGUAGCACAGAUAUCGGUCUAAAGUUAGUGGGGUCAGAGCUGCUACCAGAUUUAAAUAAAGGAAUUACUUUACUAUGUUUCAUUAGAUCAGGAAACUCGCCGCAAUCAACACUGUUGUUAAAUAUAACUACCAAGUCAGGCGCUACAAUUUCUACUAAGGAUUUGACAGCAUG